UGGAGGAGGGGGAAUUGGAGGAAGGUGGUCAAAAGGUACAAACUUUCCGUUAUACAAUAAGUACUGGGGAUGUCAUGUACAGAUAGGAAGA